AGGGACUUAGCUCAGUGGUAGAGCAGCGGAUUCCAAACCCGCGUGUCGGCAGUUCGAUUCUGUCAGUCCUUGCAA
rnacentral:tRNA from 1 species